AUUGAACGCUGGCGGCAGGCCUAACACAUGCAAGUCGAGCGAGGGGCGGACGGGUGGGUAAUGUCUGGGAAACUGCCUGAUGGAGGGGGAUAACUACUGGAAACGGUAGCUAAUACAGCAUACCAUCAGAUGUGCCCAGAUGGGAUUAGCUAGUAGGUGGGGUAACGGCUCACCUAGGCGACGAUCCCUAGCUGGUCUGAGAGGAUGACCAGCCACACUGGAACUGCGACACUGUCCAGACUCCGACGGUGGGCAGCAGUGGGGAAUAUUGCACAAUGGUCGCAAGCCUGAUGCAGCCAUUCCUCGUGUUUGAAGAAGGCCUUCGGGUUGUAAAGCACUUUCAGCGGGGAGGCGUUACCCUCAUAGGACGCACCGGCCCACUCCGUGCCAGCAGCCGCGGUAAUUC
rnacentral:rRNA from 1 species